rnacentral:rRNA from 1 species
UACGUAGGUGGCAAGCAUUAUCCGGAUUUAUUGGGCGUAAAGGAAACGCAGGCGGUCUUUUAAGUCUGAUGUGAAAGCCUUCGGCUUAACCGGAGUAGUGCAUUGGAAACUGGGAGACUUGAGUGCAGAAGAGGAGAGUGGAACUCCAUGUGUAGCGGUGAAAUGCGUAGAUAUAUGGAAGAACACCAGUGGCGAAAGCGGCUCUCUGGUCUGUAACUGACGCUGAGGUUCGAAAGCGUGGGUAGCAAACAGG